rnacentral:lncRNA from 1 species
CUUGAAAUUUAUGUAUAGUAGGAAGUAGUAAUUGAUCUUCUGACCUAAUGUUAUGAACUAGUUGUUGAAACUCUAGAUGUGAAGCCCACAUAGUUCAAAGCGGAAAGAUAUGUUGAUGUAUAAUUGUCGGUGGUUCUAAAGUAAUUAAAAGCGGACAGUGAUCAGAGUGAGUACAAAGUAGAUGACUAACUAAAGCGUGAGGAUAUAAAUUUAACCAGUCAUAAUUAGCCAAGAACCUAUCAAGUCUUUCUAGUAUUGUGUAGCCAUACCUACGUUUAUUUGUCCAAGUAUACCUACUACCCUGAAAACCCAAAUCAAUUAGUUUACAAGUAUUAAUAAUAUUAAAAACUUAUCAGCCCAUUUAUUAUUAAUAGGAAGUCCUCCAAAUUUUCUUUAGAGUCAAUAAUUUCAUUAAAGUCACCACCAAUUAACCAAGGCAUAGAAACAGUGUAUGCAUAUACAAUAAGUUAUUCCAUAAUACGUUACGCGAUUGAUAAUGGGAACUAGCAUAUAUUGCAGAUAAAAGCCAACAUGAUUUGUUAGGACUUACCUGGACCACAUAGUGAAUUUCUUGUUCUGAUAGCCUUAAUUCAGUCACAUUAAUACUAGACUCAUUCCACAACACCAUUAAGCCACCAAUGAGCCCAUUAGCUGGCACUUGCAACAUAUUAGUAAAAUUGAAAUCCUCACGUAGCCUGCUGCGAUCUUGCAUAUGAGUUUCCAACAUGAUGGCUAACGCUGGCCUAUGGUUGUCAACGAGUGAUCUAAAGUGCCUAUGAAACUCAAGGUUGUGCGUGUUGAAAAAUAAACUUGAUUUUGUGUUAUGUGUUUUGGAUUUGGGCUUGCAAGUAUCCAAGUAUAUUAGAUCAAGAUUUUAGUCCAUUAUCUAGAAACUUCUUGUAAUAUGUAGUAGUCAAAGUGUGUAGAAUAAUCUUGUAAAACAUCUAAGUCUAGAAUUAUCAUGAGAAUACAUAGGAAUUAUCUAGAUACGAGUAGAUGAUGAAGUGUUCUAGAUUAUUCCAUUGUGUAGUAUAAAUAGAGGUAUCACCCCUCAUUUGCAAUUAAGUAAUAAGCAAAGCAUUCAAGAUCAAUCAAGCUUCUAA